rnacentral:ribozyme from 13 species
GAAAAAGUACAAAAAUGAACACCAGAUUUCGACUCCAUUUCCGCCAAUUCUUCUUCUGAGUACAUUGCCAUUUUUUUUUUUUUUUUCUUUCUCUUUCUCUUUCUCUUUC